rnacentral:rRNA from 1 species
UGCCAGCCGCCGCGGUAAUACGGAGGGUGCGAACGUUAAUCGGAAUUACUGGGCGUAAAGCGCGCGUAGGUGGUUUGAUAAGUGGGAUGUGAAAGCCCCGGGCUCAACCUGGGAACUGCAUUCCAAACUGUCAAGCUAGAGUAUGGUAGAGGGAGGUAGAAUUUCCUGUGUAGCGGUGAAAUGCGUAGAUAUAGGAAGGAACACCAGUGGCGAAGGCGACUUCCUGGGCCAAUACUGACGCUGAGGUGCGAAAGCGUGGGGAGCAAACAGGAUUAGAUA